AGCAGCCGCGGUAAUUCCAGCUCCAAUAGCGUAUAUUAAAGUUGUUGCAGUUAAAAAGCUCGUAGUUGAAUUUCGGGGUUAGUAGAUUGGUCAUGCCUCUGGUAUGCACUGGUCUUACUGAUUCCUCCUUCCUGAUGAACCGUAAUGCCAUUAAUUUGGUGUUGCGGGGAAACUGGACUGUUACUUUGAAAAAAUUAGAGUGUUUAAAGCAGGCUAACGCUUGAAUACAUUAGCAUGGAAUAAUGAAAUAGGACGUUCGAUCUUAUUUUGUUGGUUUCUAGGAUUGACGUAAUGAUUAAUAGGGAUAGUUGGGGGCAUUAGUAUUCAAUUGUCAGAGGUGAAAUUCUUGGAUUUAUUGAAGACUAACUACUGCGAAAGCAUUUGCCAAGGAUGUUUUCAUUAAUCAAGAACGAAAGUUAGGGGAUCGAAGACGAUCAGAUACCGUCGUAG
rnacentral:rRNA from 1 species